rnacentral:rRNA from 1 species
AGUGAACGCUGGCGGUAGGCCUAACACAUGCAAGUCGAACGGCAGCACAGUAAGAGCUUGCUCUUACGGGUGGCGAGUGGCGGACGGGUGAGGAAUACAUCGGAAUCUACUUUUUCGUGGGGGAUAACGUAGGGAAACUUACGCUAAUACCGCAUACGACCUACGGGUGAAAGCAGGGGAUCUUCGGACCUUGCGCGAUUGAAUGAGCCGAUGUCGGAUUAGCUAGUUGGCGGGGUAAAGGCCCACCAAGGCGACGAUCCGUAGCUGGUCUGAGAGGAUGAUCAGCCACACUGGAACUGAGACACGGUCCAGACUCCUACGGGAGGCAGCAGUGGGGAAUAUUUGACAUUGGGCGCAAGCCUGCUCCAGCCAUACCGCGUGGGUGAAGAAGGCCUUCGGGUUGUAAAGCCCUUUUGUUGGGAAAGAAAAGCAGCAGGUUAAUACCCCGCUGUUCUGACGGUACCCAAAGAAUAAGCACCGGCUAACUUCGUG